CAGACUGGGAUGCUGGGAAGGAUUCUCCAUUAGCCUGGCGCUCUGAAGUUGUGAAGCCCUCUGAGCAUUCUGCAGGCGUGUCUGCAGGGACAACCUCACCAACUCCUACCUUGGAUGCUGCACAAAAGGCCAGCUCCCAUGGCAGGGGUCCUCUGACAGGAGAGACCAAAGACAUGGCAGGCAGGAAAAUCCAGGACCCAUUAGAAAUCAUGUGGCAAAUGCUGAAGGAAUGUCUGCAGAGAAGACAAG